rnacentral:rRNA from 1 species
UACAGAGGAUGCAAGCGUUAUCCGGAAUGAUUGGGUGUAAAGCGUCUGUAGGUGGCUUUUUAAGUCCGCCGUCAAAUCCCAGGGCUCAACUCUGGACAGGCGGUGGAAACUACCAAGCUGGAGUACGGUAGGGGCAGAGGGAAUUUCCGGUGGAGCGGUGAAAUGCGCAGAUAUCAGGAAGAACACCCGUGGCGAAGGCGGCUCUCUGGGACGGUACUGACGCUGAGACGCGAAAGCGUGGGGAGCGAACAGG